GUAACUACUGCCCAGUCCAGGUGGCUCUACAAGGUUUCAAGACAAAAGAAGCCCCAGAAACCUGAUCUGCACCAGCAAGAAGACUUCCUGUGGAAGGACCUCUUGAAGGUAACCAUGAUCGUCCACAGGAAGAUGGACUCCGAGACGCCCAGCUCAGAAUCCUCGCCCUUCCUGAAGAGGUGUUGAGUGUCCCUCGUCCUCGCUGCCCCCAGGACAGGACCCCGUGGCUUCUCUGGCUGCCCCCAGGAGAAAAGGAUCGACCAUCAUGAGAAGGACUCCAAGACCCUCAGCUUCCAAAUCCUCGCCCUUCAGGAACAGGUGUUGAAUGUCCUUCAUCCUCGCUGCAAACAGGAGAGGACCCCAUGUCUUCUCUGCCAUCCCCCAGGUCACUAGAUUGUCCAAAGGAAGAUGGACUCUGAGACACCCAGCUUAGAAUCCUCGCCCUUCCAGAAGAGGUGUGGAAUGUCGCUCAUCCUCGCUGGCCCCAGGACAGGACCCCAUGGGUUCCCUGGCUGCCCCCAGGUCACCACGAUCAUUAAAGGAAGAAGCACUCCGAGACACCCAGCUUUGGAAUCCUCGCCCUUCCAGAAGAGGUACUGAAUGUCCCUUGUCCUCGCUGCCCCAAGGACAGGACCCCGUGGAUUCUCUGUCUGCCCCCAGAUUACACAACCCUCCUCUCAAAGAUGGACUCCAGGAUGCCCAGCUUAGAAUCCUCGCCCUUCCAGAAGAGGUGUUGAAUGUCCCUCGUCCUCGCUGCCCCAAGGACAGCACCCCGUGGCUGCUCCAUCCCCGGGGAGCAGCUGCUGCCUGGGAAGAACCUCGUUGCCUCUGUUGGUGCCCAUGGAUUGCCCUGCACUACUGCCUCUGUGCCUGCAAUGAACAGAUUUAUGAGUUUAAGAGAAAUCCAUUAGGUCAAUAA
rnacentral:lncRNA from 1 species